UGUCAUCAUGCAGUAUGUCUGUUAUGAUUAUAGAAGAACAGGGUGUUUUCAUUACAUAUCAGACCUAGUGCAAAAUUGUAUUGCAUUUAACACACUAACGUUAACUGAUUGAUUGAAUAUAUUAUUGUGUAUUCACAUAAUUACAGUGAUAUUCAUAUCCAUGCUUUUGCCUGUUUUCACCACGAGUGAACACCAGCGCAGCACCUUUUGCGCAUGCGUUUGUGUACUGUCCCCUGACAAAAUCGGCACGCUCGCUGACGGUUGAGUCAGAAAUUUCAGCGAAACUAUUUGGAAAAGUUCACCGCUAUAACUUACUCCUUCCAGAAUCAUGUUGAACGAUAGUACAUACUUGAUAGAACUUUCCAACAACACGUUCCGUUGGUGGGAUUCAUGUUUAAUUAAAUGUAUUUACGCAUUGUGUUGGUAAAUACAUAUUGUAUGCUUCUCUUUAGAUCCUGUUCCUCUACGAAAUCAGAUUAUUUAAAAAAUGAUUUGGACCCAUCCAAUAUUUAGUUAUUGAUAAUCAAUAGUAUAGUCAAAGAUGGUUUAGAAAUUCUGUGGUAUAACGUUCAGUGCAGCUCUGGUUUUAUCCACCAGGUGGCUACAUUGCACCAACAUAAAUUGAAAAGAGGCAGUGCUGAACUGUAAACUUCACGAGUCCCAGUCGAAUUGAUUGACAUAAUAUCAUAAACGGUACAAUGAGAUGUGUUUCUGCUGCUGAUGCAAAUGUUUGUUGAAAAAUGCCCUAACUUGUAUUUUUACACCCCUUCACUAUGUUUCACUCUGAGACUGCUUGCCGAUCUAAUUCCAACCCACUAUGGAUCAGACAUGGAUGUUGAAAUGGGUGUGGAUAUAAAGGAUGUUUUUAUGUUGCAAUAGAAUAGCUCCUAUAACAAUAUCUGAAAGGUUGUAAAAAAUCUCUGUGGACACAACAGAAUUCUCCUUUCCACACUCCCUGCACCACCUUUGAUAGAAACACCCCUAGACUGAAAUGUUAAAUCAUUUUAAAGAUUCCUUUUUUUUAAGAGGGCAUAAUGUCUUUCAAAUUCAGAGUGAAACGAGGUGACACAUUUUCUCAGGGGUUAUUGGAGGAAUGAUGUGGUGUGCUAAUAUUCACCCAGAGAGACAAAGAAGUCUCUUUGUGCUCAAGGUUGUGAUUUAGCCUCAUUUCCUUCUCUAAUGGAAAUAUCAAACAGCUAAUGCUUACUGUAUGACUAGUAUGGACCCUAAUGCUCUCUCUCUCCCUGUCUGUCUCUGUCCCCUCUAUUCUAAAGGCAUAUGAGGUGGAGGACCUGACUGCAACAGACAUCCCCUGACUGCUCUGUGUGUCUAGACACAACACCUACAGUACUGUCUGUCUGUGUCUCUUCCUGUGUGUCACUGAUCUACCACCUUCUUUAUGGACCUGUCUCACCUUCUCUUCUAGUCUUGCUCUUUUUUAAGAGGAAUUGUUCUUUUAAUUACGUUUCAAUUUCAGAGAAACUCAUUAAUAACAAUUUUUUGAGUUUAAUCCAUUCUCCCUGCAGGCUUUCUUAAUGAUCUUUCUAUCUUGAUCCCUAUAUGUCCAUUUGAAUCUCCUUUUCUCCUUUCUGGGAUUUGCAACCCUCUUCAAAGGUCAGAUAUUCCCUAUCUCUACAUGUAGUCAACCUGCAUAAAGCUGUGUUAACCCCAAUUGGCUGUGAGCCAGCCUAUACACACUAACUCGUUUAAUCAGCAGUCAUCUGAUCUGGCCAAUACUCACAGUGUGCCCAAGCAUACUGUGAUAAUUAUCAUAUAAAUUGAUUUUAUGCUAAUGAUAUGAGCUGUUAUAUUCUGAAAUCCAGAGAUAAGUGAAAAUGAGAGGAAGGAACUUGACAGUGAGAGGAUUUGGGAUUUUACUUUAUCUGACUGACACCUCUCUUUACCCUCACCCACUUCUCUGUCCGUAUUCCCCCUUUCUUUUUCGCCUUUUCUCUUUCAUGAAGCUGCUGGCUUUGGGAGGAGGGUGCUGGUCCUUGACUUGGUGGCUCCCACCCCUAAAGGCACUAAAUGGGGUCUAGCUGGUUCCAGUGUGAGCAUGGGCAGUAUUCCCAGGAAGCUCCUGCACCAAGCCUCUGCUGGGAAAAGCCAUCAAGGAUGCCCGGAAGUACUGCUGGAAGUUUGAGGAACAGGUGUCCCAGGGCUAGGGUGAAAUGGUGGAGGCGGUACAACAACAUGUGAAGUCUGUGAGCUUUGAGCUGAGGAGGGAGCUGAGGGACAGUGAUGUCACCUACCUGAACGCCCAUGGAGAGAUACUGGAGCCACACACUGUACAGGCGACAAGAUGUCAACGGGAGGAGGACCUAUCACACAUCAGAGACACUCGUCAUCGCCACGGGGAACAGGGCACAAUACCUGGACAUACAGUUGAGGAGCGUGUGGUAGGUCUCCAUUUGAUGGGGCCCAGUGCAGGGGAGGUGAUCCAGGGCUUUGCUUUGGCUCUGAGGUGUGGUCUGAUCAAACAGCAGCUGGACACUACUUUGGGACUCCACCCUGUUUGUGCCCAGGUGUUGACCAAACUGACAGUAACUCAGCGUGCCACUGACACCAUGAUGGUCAGAGGGAACUGCUGAGGUUAGCCCCCUGCUGUCAAUCACUGUUGUCCAAGGCAACGGUACAGAUAGCAGGGAGAAGCCUGUCAGAACAUCCUCAUUGUUGAGUGACGGGCAGCUAUCAGCCGUCUAAUGACGUCUGAGUCCGGAGCCUGAUUGACAGGUGGGCCGGGACUGACACUGCUGCUGCUGGCCCAAGACACUGGGGUCACUUCCCGUUUACAUGUUUUUUUUCUUCUCUUUUAAACUCUUUCUUUUGCCAUAUUAAUGAACCAAACUUUGAUAUUAACCUGCGGAGGCACCUCUGACACCUUUCAGCUGUGAACUCUGCAGUCCAUAUGAAUACUCAUUAGUCUGUGACUGUACUGACUCAGUUUAAUGCCUGCUGAGUAGCAAUAAAGCCCUGAUUGAGCAUUUAAAUACUGUGGAAACACAGUUCAUGCUUUUAUGCAGGGUUCUGUAGCUACGGGCUGAAGGGAUUUAAGUGCCAUAAUGUAAUGUAAUGAACGGAUCGAGAUUAAACUAUUAUCAGAAUUAAGAAAUAGUCAUUAAUAAAAUGCUCUUUUAAUGAAAGUAAGUGGUUCACAUAGGGAUACAUUAACCUAAGACUACAAUCUCUCUGACUGUCUUUUUCUCUCUCACUAUCUCCAUUUGUCAUUCUCUCUGUCUCAGUUCUGCAGGACAUAGUGACUGCCUUAAACACUGUGAUGAAUAUUCACAGGGAUCAUUAGUAAGGUCUCAUACUAAUGGGAGGGGAGACAGGGGCAAAAGGCUACAACAGAACCCCCCCUAAUAAGGCUAUUAACAUCCAUCACUUCAGACACAAACAUUACCUACAAUUCAGAGUAAGCACGUGUGUGUGCAUGUAUGUGUUUGUGCUGUAUCUCUCUCUUUUAUGCAGACCUCUCUCUUUUAUGCAGACACUUUUUCACCUGUCAGCACAUAAUCACCGGUAUGUCCCCAUGGAACAUUGUAGAGGCAUGCUUCACCAACGAUUUAGUUCUGCUUGAGGAAGACAUUUUUUAUUACUGCUUACAGUUCAGCUUGUCCUCUAGACAACCUUGCUAUUUAUUCCUUAUGCAGACACAUUGAGCAUUCAGAGACUGAGACUGAUGUACCAAUAAGGGAAAGUACACCAGUCUACAAACGCUAUUAGAAUAUAAUUAGAUCAAUAGAAGGAAAGCGGAACAGUGUCUGUCUUGAGAUGUAUUUGAUAUCACCCAGAACAAGUUAUUAGGAAUACCAUUCAGCUAUGUCUCCAAUUGUCCUAGUUAUAAUCAUAUAACGAUACAUUUAUUCAAAUUUUUGUCACUUUGCUUUGGGAUCUUUUCAGAAGGUAUUUCCAUUGGUUUUUAGAAUAGAUCACUGUGGACUUGCUCAAUAAAGAUCCACAGUGAAGGUGUCCUAAUACCCAUAAAACCUAGCGGUCAAACAGGAAAAUGGUUCCAAUCGUUUUUCCACCAUUUAUUUUUCCCAUUGGGGAUUUAAAAUAAGGGCUGUGUUUCAUGUAGUCUUACCAUGGCGUGACAUUUUGAUAACCAUGUAAAUAUCUUUCAGACAAGCCCCACAUUUCUUGCAAAGAAAUUAUACAUGUUAUUUUUUGGGGUGGGGGGGUUGCCUGUUUUGCAUGUUAUUUUGGCAUUAAUAUGUGUCACAUACCAGUUUGCAAACAAUGUAAAAAAAAAACAUAUAGAAAUAUCAUUGAGUUAAUAAAGCUGCAUACAAACAUAGUC